rnacentral:rRNA from 1 species
ACGACAGCCGCAGAAACCAGGCCGCUGCAACUGUUUAUUAAAAACAUAGCACUCUGCAAACACGAAAGUGGACGUAUAGGGUGUGAUGCCUGCCCGGUGCUGGAAGGUUAAUUGAUGGGGUUAGCGUAAGCGAAGCUCUUGAUCGAAGCCCCAGUAAACGGCGGCCGUAACUAUAACGGUCCUAAGGUAGCGAAAUUCCUUGUCGGGUAAGUUCCGACCUGCACGAAUGGCAUAAUGAUGGCGGCGCUGUCUCCAGCAGAGGCUCAGUGAAAUCGAAAUCGCUGUGAAGAUGCAGUGUACCCGCGGCUAGACGGAAAGACCCCGUGAACCUUUACUGCAGCUUGACACUGAACUUUGACCUUACUUGUGUAGGAUAGGUGGGAGGCUUUGAAGCUGGAACGCUAGUUCCAGUGGAGCCGUCCUUGAAAUACCACCCUGGUAAUGUUGAGGUUCUAACUCUGUCCCGUGAUCCGGGACGAGGACCGUGUCUGGUGGGUAGUUUGACUGGGGCGGUCUCCUCCUAAAGAGUAACGGAGGAGUACGAAGGUGCGCUCAGCGUGGUCGGAAAUCACGCGUAGAGUAUAAAGGCAAAAGCGCGCUUAACUGCGAGACCCACAAGUCGAGCAGGUACGAAAGUAGGUCUUAGUGAUCCGGUGGUUCUGUAUGGAAGGGCCAUCGCUCAACGGAUAAAAGGUACUCUGGGGAUAACAGGCUGAUACCGCCCAAGAGUUCAUAUCGACGGCGGUGUUUGGCACCUCGAUGUCGGCUCAUCUCAUCCUGGGGCUGAAGCAGGUCCCAAGGGUAUGGCUGUUCGCCAUUUAAAGAGGUACGCGAGCUGGGUUUAGAACGUCGUGAGACAGUUCGGUCCCUAUCUACCGUGGGCGCUGGAAAUUUGAGAGGAUCUGCUCCUAGUACGAGAGGACCAGAGUGGACGAACCUCUGGUGUACCGGUUGUGACGCCAGUCGCAUCGCCGGGUAGCUAUGUUCGGAAGGGAUAACCGCUGAAAGCAUCUAAGCGGGAAGCCUACCUCAAGAUAAGAUUUCCCUAGGACUUUAUGUCCUCUAAAGAGCCGUUCGAGACUAGGACGUUGAUAGGUUGGAUGUGGAAGCAUAGUGAUAUGUGAAGCUGACCAAUACUAAUUGCUCGUGAGGCUUGACUAU